AUGUCACAUCAUAAGUCAUCAUUUUUUACUGUUUCUCUCCACAAACAUCAGGCUUCCUGUUGUUUUCGUGCUGUUGGAAUUUAUUUGAUCUCCCUUUGCACCUCUCUCACCUCGCUGCUGUCACAGCCCACAGGAUUAGGGCGAGCACGUUAUGCCAGGCCUCAGAACCAUGGGGGUCGAUCUGAAACCUUAAGUUACGACACGAGAAUAAACACAUUUCGAUAUAAGCAAAGGGUUCGGAUGCGUGUUGACAUGAGGUGUGUUGCCACUACUGGAGGCUAAAUAGUCCCCGCAGACUGAUCAGAGCUAAUGAGCUGCAGUUCACUGACCAGUGCGAUGCAUCACAGCCAGACAGGCGACUCUGCCCUUCUCCAUUUCUCUCAGGGAGGACAGUCAGACAUCUCAUCCUGCCUCAGAAACCCCUCCAUCGCACACGUGACCUCCCCACAGCGUUAAGGAUGCCACUACAUUAGCUACUAAGACCGUGGAGACCAAUAAACCUCACUGGAAUAAAAUACUUAUUGUAUAC
rnacentral:lncRNA from 1 species